UACGUAGGUGGCAAGCGUUAUCCGGAAUUACUGGGCGUAAAGCGCACGCAGGCGGUCUUUUAAGUUUGACGUGAAAGCUCCCGGCUUAACUGGGAGAGGUCGUUGAAGACUGGAAGACUUGAGGCAAUGAGAGGGGUGUAGAAUUCCCGGUGUAGUGGUGGAAUGCGUAGAUAUCGGGGGGAAUACCAGUGGCGAAAGCGGCACCCUAGCGUUAGCCUGACGCUCAUGUGCGAAAGCGUGGGGAGCGAUCCGG
rnacentral:rRNA from 1 species